GCUGGGCAUGGUGGUGCAUGCCUGUAAUCCCAGCUACUCGGGAGGCUGAGGCGGGAGAAUUGCUUGAACCCAGGAGACGGAGGUCGUGGUGAGGUGAGAUCGCGCCAAUGCACUCCAGCCUGGGUAACAAGAGCAAAAUUCCGUCUCAA
ensembl:misc_RNA Metazoa_SRP Metazoan signal recognition particle RNA